rnacentral:piRNA from 4 species
GUGGUUAGGAUUCGGCGCUCUCAC